UCCCUGGUGGCUCAGAUGGUAAAGCGUCUGCCUGCAAUGCGGGAGACCCGGUUCGAUUCCUGGGUAGGGAA
rnacentral:tRNA from 1 species